UUGGAGAGUAAAAAACGCCAAUUUGGUAACAGAGAGAGAGAGAGAGGGGUUAGCUCUGCUCCAACUGGGGUAGGGACUUCGUGUGACUUGGUCGAUAAUUACCACUAUCUUCUUCUUCUUCGUCUUUCUCCGCAAACCCUAGUUUCCCCGAUCGAAGCUCUUCCCCUUCCUCAUUUCUCAAUUCGCUCCUGUUACCUCUCAGAUCAACCGCCUAUUCAUCUCUAGCUCUUGUAUUGAUCGAUCGGCGGAUCCAUAUGGAGGGGAAUUCCGGCGGAGGUGGAGGAGGAGGAGCCAGCGGCGGAGCGGCGGCGGCGGUGGGUGGCGGAGGAGGUAACGAUGUGGAACUGGUGAGCAAGACGCUGCAGGUGGAGCACAAGCUUUUUUAUUUCGAUCUCAAGGAAAAUCCUCGUGGUCGGUACCUGAAGAUAUCGGAGAAGACGUCGGCGACGAGGUCAACUAUCAUUGUCCCUUCCUCGGGAAUCUCCUGGUUCCUUGAUCUCUUCAAUUACUACGUCAACUCCGACGAACACGAGCUCUUCAGCAAGGAAUUGCAGCUCGAUUCCAAGGUCUUUUACUUCGACAUCGGCGAGAACCGUAGGGGACGCUUCUUAAAGGUUUCAGAAGCAUCUGUUAGUAGAAAUCGUAGCACUAUUAUUGUUCCUGCAGGAACCUCCCGUGAUGAAGGUUGGGCAGCUUUCAAGAACAUCUUGGCUGAGAUCAAUGAGGCAUCAAGGCUUUUCAUGAUGCCCAAUCAGCAGCCUUCUGAUGCACAGGAACAUCUAGUUGGACUUUCGGAUGAUGUAGGAGUUGGCUUCAUAUCCGGCCACGGUAGCCAGCCACAAUCAUCAUCUGAACUGACUGUAGAACGAUCAGCUGAUCUCCCAGGCCAGGAUGAAAUUGGAAUGAUGGGUGUCUCGAAGGUGAUCAGAGCCGAUCAGAAGCGAUUCUUCUUUGAUCUCGGGAGCAACAACAGGGGCCAUUUUCUCAGGAUUUCUGAGGUGGCAGGUUCUGAUAGGUCCUCCAUCAUCCUCCCCUUAUCAGGCCUUAGGCAGUUUCAUGAGGUUAUUGGUCACUUCGUGGAGAUUACCAAAGACAGAAUCGAAGGGCUGACUGGUGCAAAUGUCAGGACAGUGGAUUCGCCUCAGAGAUGAGUAUCCAUAUUAAGGUGACCAGUAAUGGGAUGAUGGGAAUCCCAUCCUCUAACAUUGGAGUUUGAAGAUUCAAACAGCUGUCUGAUCAUGGUGUGCAAUUGUGUCAAGUAAUUUAUCGCCUCUUCCUGUUCAAAGUUUCGAAAUAAUCCAGCCGAUUGAUCUGUCUGAAUAGCAGAUAAAUCAUGGAGAUGCUUGCCAAAUUCUAGCCUCCAACUGGGAAUAAUGCUUAAAUCAUUUAAAACUUUUUCGGCCUCAAUCUGUCCAAGCUAUUUCCUUUACUUCAGAUCCAGAUUCGAUGCUUUGGUGAUUCUGUUGACAGGUUUAUGCAUUUCGAUCGUAAAAAGGAAUUGUUUUGCUGUGGAUUUUGAGAUGAUGGUUCUUUACAAUUGUAUAUAUGACCCUCUUGUGAGAAACGAUGAUUAUUGUUUUUCCUUUC